AACGAAGCCGCAUGACUUUGUUAUCAAAGAUUUAUCGCUCGGAGAUGGACUCGCGUCCGAUUAGUUAGUUGGUGAGGUAACGGCUCACCAAGACCGCGAUCGGUAGCCGGACUGAGAGGUUGAACGGCCACAUUGGGACUGAGACACGGCCCAGACUCCUACGGGAGGCAGCAGUGGGGGAUAUUGCGCAAUGGGGGCAACCCUGACGCAGCAACGCCGCGUGAAGGAUGAAGGUUUUCGGAUUGUAAACUUCUUUUAUCAGGGACGAAGAAUGACGGUACCUGAAGAAUAAGCUCCGGCUAACUACGUGCCAGCAGCCGCGGUAAUACGUAGGGAGCAAGCGUUGUCCGGAUUUACUGGGUGUAAAGGGUGCGUAGGCGGCUUUGUAAGUCAGAUGUGAAAUCUAUGGGCUUAACCCAUAAACUGCAUUUGAAACUACAGAGCUUGAGUGAAGUAGAGGCAGGCGGAAUUCCCUGUGUAGCGGUGAAAUGCGUAGAGAUAGGGAGGAACACCAGUGGCGAAGGCGGCCUGCUGGGCUUUAACUGACGCUGAGGCACGAAAGCGUGGGUAGCAAACAGGA
rnacentral:rRNA from 1 species